rnacentral:rRNA from 1 species
CCUACGGGUGGCAGCAGUGAGGAAUAUUGGUCAAUGGGCGCGAGCCUGAACCAGCCAAGUAGCGUGAAGGAUGAAUGCCCUACGGGUUGUAAACUUCUUUUAUAAAGGAAUAAAGUGAGGCACGUGUGCCUUUUUGUAUGUACUUUAUGAAUAAGGAUCGGCUAACUCCGUGCCAGCAGCCGCGGUACUACGGAGGAUCCGAGCGUUAACCGGAUUUAUUGGGCUUAAAGGGAGCGUAGAUGGGUUGUUAAGUUAGUUGUGAAAGUUUGCGGCUCAACCGUAAAAUUGCAAUUGAUACUGGCAGGCUUGAGUACAGUUGAGGUAGGCGGAAUUCGUGGUGUAGCGGUGAAAUGCUUAGAUAUCACGAAGAACUCCGAUUGCGAAGGCAGCUUACUAAACUGACACUGACAUUGAGGCUCGAAAGUGUGGGUAUCAAACAGGAUUAGAUACCCUUGUAGUC